rnacentral:rRNA from 1 species
GAUGAACGCUGGCGGCGUGCUUAACACAUGCAAGUCGAACGGAAAGGCUCCUGCUUGCAGGGGUACUCGAGUGGCGAACGGGUGAGUAACACGUGGGUGAUCUGCCCUGCACUUCGGGAUAAGCCUGGGAAACUGGGUCUAAUACCGGAUAGGACGAUGGUUUGGAUGCCAUUGUGGAAAGUUUUUCGGUGUGGGAUGAGCUCGCGGCCUAUCAGCUUGUUGGUGGGGUAAUGGCCUACCAAGGCGUCGACGGGUAGCCGGCCUGAGAGGGUGUACGGCCACAUUGGGACUGAGAUACGGCCCAGACUCCUACGGGAGGCAGCAGUGGGGAAUAUUGCACAAUGGGCGCAAGCCUGAUGCAGCGACGCCGCGUGGGGGAUGACGGCCUUCGGGUUGUAAACUCCUCUCGCUAGGGACGAAGCGUUAUGUGACGGUACCUGGAGAAGAAGCACCGGCUAACUACGUGCCAGCAGCCGCGGUAAUACGUAGGGUGCGAGCGUUGUCCGGAAUUACUGGGCGUAAAGAGCUCGUAGGUGGUUUGUCGCGUCGUUUGUGUAAGCCCGCAGCUUAACUGCGGGACUGCAGGCGAUACGGGCAUAACUUGAGUGCUGUAGGGGAGACUGGAAUUCCUGGUGUAGCGGUGGAAUGCGCAGAUAUCAGGAGGAACACCGAUGGCGAAGGCAGGUCUCUGGGCAGUAACUGACGCUGAGGAGCGAAAGCAUGGGUAGCGAACAGGAUUAGAUACCCUGGUGGUCCAUGCCGUAAACGGUGGGCGCUAGGUGUGAGUCCCUUCCACGGGGUUCGUGCCGUAGCUAACGCAUUAAGCGCCCCGCCUGGGGAGUACGGCCGCAAGGCUAAAACUCAAAGGAAUUGACGGGGGCCCGCACAAGCGGCGGAGCAUGUGGAUUAAUUCGAUGCAACGCGAAGAACCUUACCUGGGCUUGACAUACACCAGACCGGGCCAGAGAUGGUCUUUCCCUUUGUGGUUGGUGUACAGGUGGUGCAUGGUUGUCGUCAGCUCGUGUCGUGAGAUGUUGGGUUAAGUCCCGCAACGAGCGCAACCCUUGUCUUAUGUUGCCAGCACGUUAUGGUGGGGACUCGUGAGAGACUGCCGGGGUUAACUCGGAGGAAGGUGGGGAUGACGUCAAAUCAUCAUGCCCCUUAUGUCCAGGGCUUCACACAUGCUACAAUGGUCGGUACAACGCGUCUGCGAGCCUGUGAGGGUGAGCUAAUCGCUGUAAAGCCGGUCGUAGUUCGGAUUGGGGUCUGCAACUCGACCCCAUGAAGUCGGAGUCGCUAGUAAUCGCAGAUCAGCAACGCUGCGGUGAAUACGUUCCCGGGCCU